rnacentral:lncRNA from 1 species
CACUGGCACCCCUAAAUCGGAUGCCCGAAGGCUGCAGGCGGCGCCCGGCGUGCAGGUGGCGCCUGGCGACGAUCUGACCACUUCUUCUCCCUUCACACACUCUGAGAACGCAUUCUAGGAUCUGUCUGUGUCACCAAGAUCUAGGAGAAUCCUCUCAGCCAUUAGCUCCUUGAAGCACUUCUGGGGCCUGUGCAGGAGGAGGUGGGCUCCAGUCUCUCGGCUGCAUUAACUUCUGGUUAAGAGAACGUGAAGACGUGCUCAUUGCUCCGCAUGAGCCCAUUUCUCAUCUCCAGGCUGACUUCAGGCUGAGAGGGAAUUUCAUGGCACUGUUAGCUGCCUCAGGGCCGCAAGUUAACUUGUCACCUUUAAGAAACCGCUCAAAUGGAGCUAGAGAAAGUACCCAAGGAGCUAAAGGGAUCUGCAACCCUAUAGGUGGAACAACAUUAUGAACU